ensembl:lncRNA PPP1R3B-DT PPP1R3B divergent transcript
GCAGUGGCGCACCAGUCUCCAUGAAGGUUGAGCUCCGAUGGCCAACGGCCAUUUCCACCUUGUGGUCUACAACUCUUCAUCCCGACUGCAUGGAGGUUGGUCUCUCUCUUCAGCUGGAUUUAGGCCACCAUCUGAGCCCCCGGGGUACGUUUUGUCUGACCCUGGCGCCAUUCGAACGGUUCUUCUACAGCAUCAGUUCUCUUUCCUGCCACCAUGUGAAGAAGGACAUGUUUGCUUCCCCUUCUGCCAUGAAUGGACAGGGUCCUGCUGUGUUGCCCAGGCUGGCCUUGAACUCCUGGCUUCAAACAGUCUUCCCACUUGGGCUCCCAAAGUGCUGGGAUUAAAGGGGCGAGUUACAGCACCAGGACCUGAAAUGUUAUACACCGCAUCUUGAUGACAAUGCAUUAAUGGGGAUAAAUACUCCCCAGAAGAGCUUCGGCCUGUCCUGAGAUCUGCAACACAAGGAGUUUUUAACCUGGAAAGUGUGCUUAAUUCUUCUACUGCCUCUUCUUGAGGGCUGCCUAAGUACAGAAUGUUUGGUGUCCUGGAGGGUGCCCAGGCUAACAGUGAGAAUUGGAUAGCUCCAUCAGGGCCUUGGGCACUGGGCCUAUGGAGUAGCCUGUACUUCUUGCUCUUUUCAACACUUGAAGGGAGAGGGGGCCAAGUUCUCUCGCAGAGUUGCUCUAUGGCAGUGGCAGCAGCCAGCUGGAUAUCACGGGAAAAUGCCCGCUCCGUGAAAGGGUCAUAUAUGCAAAGUAGCCCCCAAAGGCCAAAAGAGCCAAGAAACCAAAGAACAAGCCACACAAC